UACGGAGGGUGCAAGCGUUAAUCGGAAUUACUGGGCGUAAAGCGCACGCAGGCGGUCUGUUAAGUCAGAUGUGAAAUCCCCGGGCUUAACCUGGGAACUGCAUUUGAAACUGGCAGGCUUGAGUCUUGUAGAGGGGGGUAGAAUUCCAGGUGUAGCGGCGAAAUGCGUAGAGAUCUGGAGGAAUACCGGUGGCGAAGGCGGCCCCCUGGACAAAGACUGACGCUCAGGUGCGAAAGCGUGGGGAGCAAACAGG
rnacentral:rRNA from 1 species